rnacentral:lncRNA from 1 species
AUUUUGCUUUAAAACUUAAAAUGAUAUUUCAAAUAAUAUUUUGGGUUGAGCAUCAUAUUUUAUUGUUGCCCGAGCGACUUAUGUGAUUUUGACUGAGUAAGGCCGAGGGCCUGUAUGGUGAGGAUACUUUUGGAUCAGGCUACACGUCGCAGCAGUGAGAUACUGAUUUGAUUAUGAGGCCGAGGGCUUAAGAUAUGUACGCCACAAGGUGGCUUGUUGAUUGAUAUGAGGCAGAUGGCCUAGAUUUGAUGCCACGAGAUGGCUUAAUAUUGCGCUUGGGCCGUAAGGGGCCCCUCUCGGAGUCUAUACACCCCUAGUAAGUGCGGGUACCCAUUGUGAUGUGAGAUUGAGCCCGAUGGGCUGUAUUGUUCUGAGAUUGAGCCCGAGGGGCUGGUACUGUUCUGAGACAUUGCUCGAGGGGCGGAUUUGAUGACAUUGUGACUGGGGGGCGAACCUUAUGUGCUUAUCUUUUCUUAUUUGCCUGCCAUUUACUUGGUUAAAUUGUGUAUUUGUGCUCGAGGGGCGGAGUUCUGUGCUUAUCUGCACAAAUUGUUUUGCAUAAUUAUUGAAAUAAGUCAAUUUCAAAGAAGUUUCAAACUGAGCUAAGAUGUUUUAAGAGAUUUUAUAGCUUCACUGCUUUCUUACUGGAUUUGAACUGCUUCUAUACAACAUCCUAAUAUGCUUUACGUGAUUUCUUACCAUUCAGACUUUAGUUAUGAUUAUUACUCACUGAGUUGGAGUACUCACUUUACUCCCUACACCUUGUGUGCAGAUUCGGGUAUUUCUGAACCCGGUAGUGGGUAUUGGCUGGUCGGAGGCAGAAUCAUCGGAGUUUAGCAGGGUAGUUGCUGAUGUUCGCAGCACCGCUUUUCUCCCUCUUCCUUUCAUUAGCCUGUAUUAGUACACUUCAGACUUUCAAUUGUAUUUAUACCCUAGUAGAUGCUCGUGACUUGUGACACCCGGGUUAGGACUGUGACGGGUUGGAUUUUCCGCAUUGGGUUGAACUGGUUGGCCUUGUCUUCACGAGAGGCGUCAGCACGACCGGGUCCGGGUUUAGGGCCAUGACAUUAGGUAUCAUGACCAUGCCACGGAAACCGUACCCAUAGUCACGAUGGUUUAUUAUAAAACGCGCCUAAAGCAAACUACGAAUGUUCAAAGUGUUUUCUAGACUAGUUAUAAUAUUAAUGUGAGGGCCAUAGAUUAGGUGAUUCAAUUGUGAAUGACACGCCUCGAUUUAUUUUAAAAGAUUUGUAUUUCACUAAAGCAAACUAAGGAUGCUCUUUAAAUCUAAUUUGAAAUUAGGCAUCACAAACGACGCCACGGGAACCGUACCCGUAAUUGUAAUGAUUUAACAACGUACCUAAAGCAAACUACAGUGUUCAAAUUAUUUCCUAAACUUAUUUGGAGAUCAUUUCGAGGCCAAGAAUCUAUGAAAAUCAAUAUGGAGACGUGUAGAAACUAUUCAUGAAUUUAAGCAUAAGAAUAUUGAUAGUAAAAAUGGGUUGAUUUGAUUAUUUCACACCAAGUCUUAGACGACCCAAUUCUUAUUAAAUAAAAGACCUUGGACCUUUCUCGUUUAUUAGUCUAGUUAUUAAGUGGCCCAAUUGAUGCGGCAAAGUCAAGGAAACCUCAAACUUACAACUAGCCAUGAAAAUAGUACUGCCCAAUCAAAAUAUUAAAACCAAACAAACCAAAUUGCAAUAUCUAAUCAGAUUAAAUCUAAGCCCACUUAAUGCUAUAUCUUCUUCCUUUAUCAAAAUUAUUUGAGAUUAAAAGAUACUGCAAAUUAAGGUAGUAGCACCAAAUUCACGAUUUUCAGAUAACUACGCAACAUUAUUCGAACACAAAAUGGCAUAGCAAUAUUCUAAGUAAAAUAAGAUAAGAGGAUAAAUGAUGCACCUUUGAAUAAGCUUUCCAAUAUAUUAACAAGUGAACCUCAAAUGUAUAGCAACAAAUCAUUUGGAGCCUGCGGACCACAGACGAAGACCUCGAACCUCGACACACCUCCAUGCUCGACUGAAACUUUUAUAGAAGUGGCUGGAUUUGAGCUGGAGUUUGGUGCAUUUUUUACUGAUUUUGGGGCUGCUUUGAGACUGCUUCAAGAUGGUUUUAAGGGCUGGUUUAUGGAGGGGUUUAGAAGUUGAUUUUUGACGGUGUUUCAUCGUGUUUUUUGUGCUGGUUUUAGGUGUUUUGGAACUGGGUUUUGGCUGGGAUUUUUAGGUUUGUUUUUCAGCAAAAAUGGCAGCAAUUUGAGCUGCUGUUUUGAACGUUUUUGGUGUUGUUUUAGCAGCAUUUUUGGCUGCCUUGCAGCUGAUUUUCGCUGCUCUUCUCAGCUGGUUGUUGCUGCGUGUUUAACCUACCUUUAAGAGGUUCAUUGAGACUGUUUUAGGCUGGUUUUUGAUUGCGGAAUAGUGAGGCUUAUGGGCUACUCCAUGGCUGCAUUUUUUGGAGUGUUUUGAAGCUGAGCUUCAUGGGUGUUUUGGUGAUGAUUUUGAGGUGUUUUGGAGGAGAUUUCACUUCUGGUUUGUGACGUGAGAAACAAAGAUGUUUUUUUAUGGCUGAAGCUCUUUGGCUCAAGGUUGAAGAAGAAAAGCAACUGGUUUCUUUUUUCUGUUUUGUUGUCGUGUUUUUCUUUUUCUUAGCUCCUCUGUUUUUCGUUCUCUCCCC